AGCAAUUAACUAGCCUGGAGAAGUAACAAUUAAUUGAACAAUAAAGCACUAGUUUGGCCUUUUUAGCUUAUGGCAAAAUGUCAUGCGAAAAAAGAGGACAGAUAUAUGUCAGUUCGACAGUUUGAAAUGACAUGUAGCCAUUUCAAUUUGUUUUAGUGACCAGUCUGGUGACUAACGCUUGGUUAUUUUAAUUAUAUUUUUUGAAGUGAAAAACGAUUGUUUUAGUUUAAUUUGUUAUUUUAUGAAAAGAAAAUUGACUAAAGAUAACAUGUCUUGUGUUGCUUACGGCUGUAAAAGCCAUAGUAGUGGGAAAUCGGAUGAAGAUAGGAAUUUUUCAUUUCACAGGUUUCUGGCUUGAGAAAAAUUAAAAGAUGUACGGGUUAAAGCUAUAGCAGAGGUAAAAUUGGAAGCCUUUGAAACAUUCUCGGCUUUGUUCAAAUCAUUUCGAAUUAGACGGGAAGAAAAGUAAAGUGCUAUGCAGAUAUGCUGUGCCACAAGUUUACGGUGGCAUCUAUUUUAAAUAAAAAAAUAUUGUAAUUUGGUAAAUAAGUAUCGAAUUAAAAUGUUGUAAAAAAAUUAAA